rnacentral:lncRNA from 1 species
CACAUUGUAUGCAAUUGCCUUUGUUGAUUCUUGAUCGUGUCGAGUUGAUUACAUUUAUUGAACAAGUAAAUACAAAGUCGGAAUCCAUCACAUAUAACAUCUGCAGUGGCCGCUGCACUGUUGAAAUAUCUACAAAGACAAAAUAGAGACAGUCAUAAUACAAACAAACAAAAAAAAUAUGUAGAACUGGGAAAAGAGACGGAGGAGGCCCAAGUGCGAUGGUAACGCUGAAGUGUGAUGAUUUACGCCUUAGUGCGAUGGCCUGUACGCAUGAAAUAAAAUCAACAGAAGUGCAUUUAUAACAUGUAUAAUAUAAAAGUAGAUUAAUUGAUUGUUAAAACGUGGUGUAUAUAAAUUUAAAUCAAUUAUUAUGGUCUAUGGAUAUCCUUACAAUUGCACACUAUAUGAGAGAUUGUCCUUUUUGAUUUUCUAUAUGUGGGAACACUUCUGCAUUAGCAUUUUAUCUAUAAUACGUUGUUGCAUUCAUAAGGUUUUCGUUUCUCACAAAUGUAUAGAUGGCUGUAUUUGAAAAAUGUCACGCCCAAUCGCACGCAAAGCAGAAUCUUUCGGAUAUUUCGAAAAAUAAAAACCCAUUGCUACAGAAGAUUAACUCUCUUCUAUCAAAAAAUCCUUUCCGUUAAAAAAAGAUAAAAAAAAACUCUAAUUAAAAAAGGCUUAUAACAUACACAUUGACAUCUCCAUCGACAUGAAAAUCAUUGCAGGUAACUCAUCAUAGAUACCAGGAUUAAAUUUAGUAUUUACGCUAGACGCGGGACUCGUAAAAAAAAAAGACUCAUCAGUGAAACUCGAAUCCAAAAAAGUUUAAAGACCAUAUAAAAACGAAGUAAAUAUAGUUUGUGGAGACCAUAGCAUUUCAGCAUUGUCACGUACAUCGUAAUUCGGCGUCGCUAUCAACAAAAUAGUGUCAAAAUGACAACAUCGAAAUUGAGCUAGAACAAAAACGCACUUCAGCGUGACCAUCGCGGUCCGGAGUACCAUCGCGGUUCGGAAUAGCAUCGCUGUGCGAAGUCCUGCAUAUAAUAUAUACAUCCUCUUUCAUUCUCCAUAUAAAUACUGGUGAGCAAAUGGUCAAAAUAGGUGCACUUUGGGUACUCUCACAUUUGAAUAAUAUAAAAAAAAAUGAUUGAACCAUACGAAAAAAUAACUAUUUCUAUUUUGUAUUACAUCAAUGGUAAUUGUACAGGUUUUGUGCGUAUUCGUGGUUUUAGUAAGGGUUUUAAUAUUUUAAUUACAAAUAAAUAUUCGAUUUGAAAGUAAUUG